rnacentral:tRNA from 1 species
GAGGGUAUAGCUCAGCAGUAGAGCACGUGCUUAGCAUGCACAAGGUCCUGGAUUCAAGCCCCAGUACCUCCA